GGUCAGUGAUGGAAAUAGCCAAGACUGUGAGCAUCAGGAGACCUUCCAGUCCACCUCGCAUGAUCUCUCUAGUUCGGAGA
rnacentral:snoRNA from 1 species